GUGGUGCGCCCUCGGCGGACUCGGAGAGGCCUCGGGAUCCCACCUCGGCCGCCGGCGAGCGGCGGCCUUCACCUUCAUUGCGCCACGGCGGCUUUCGUGCGAGCCCCUGACUCGCUUCGCUCGUGACGGCGUGGCCGAGGACCAAAAAAACCAACCCCCCGGGCCCGACGGCGCGACCCGCCCGGGGCGCACUGAGGACAGUCCGCCCCGCCCCGACCCGCACCGUGGCCCUCCCCACACCCCGGGAAGGGGGGGAGGAGGAGGCGAGGCCGGGGUGGGAGAGCGGUCGCGCCGUGGGAGGGGGGAGAGCGCGGCGACAGGUCUCACUCCCUCGGCCCCGGGAUUCGGCGAGCGCUGCUGCCGGGGGCUGUAACACUCGGGGCGGUGGGCCCGCCGCGGGCCCCCCCCUCCCCCUCCGGAGAGGAGGGAGGGAGAGGACGACGGGGCCCCCCGAGCCACCUUCCCCACCGGCCUUCCCAGCCGUCCCGGAGCCGGUCGCGGCGCACCGCCGCGGUGGAAAUGCGCCCGGCGGCGGCCGUGGACGCCGACCGGGGGGCGGUCCCCCGCCGGCCCCACCCCCGGCCCGCCCGCCCACCCCCGCGACACCCC
rnacentral:lncRNA from 9 species